CUGGUCGCAAGAUCAGCCGCAGUGAAAAGGCCCAAGCAACUGUUUAUCAAAAACACAGGCAUCUGCAAAAUCGUAAGAUGAAGUAUAGGUGCUGACACCUGCCCGGUGCUGGAAGGUUAAGAGGAGAGCUUAGCGCAAGCGAAGGUUUGAAUUGAAGCCCCAGUAAACGGCGGCCGUAACUAUAACGGUCCUAAGGUAGCGAAAUUCCUUG
rnacentral:rRNA from 1 species